rnacentral:SRP_RNA from 1 species
GCUGGGCGUAGUAGUGCGUGCCCAGGGAGGCUGAGGCUGGAGAAUGACUUCAGCCCCGGAGUUCUGGGCUGUAGUGCGCUGUGCUGAUGAGGUGUCCGUGCUAAGUCUGGCAUCACUAUGGUGACCUCUUAGGAGCGGAGGACCACCAGGUUGCGUAAGGUUGGAGACGGAGCAGGUCAAAACUCCCGUGCUGAUCUGUAGUGGGAUCGCGCCUGUGAAUAGUCCCUGCACUGCAGCCUGGGCAACAUAGCGAGAUCCCGUCUCU